rnacentral:rRNA from 1 species
GCACAAGCGGUGGAGCAUGUGGUUUAAUUCGAUGCAACGCGAAGAACCUUACCUGGCCUUGACAUCUGUCGAAUCUUGCAGAGAUGCAGGAGUGCCUUCGGGAACGACAAGACAGGUGCUGCAUGGCUGUCGUCAGCUCGUGUCGUGAGAUGUUGGGUUAAGUCCCGCAACGAGCGCAACCCUUGUCCUUAGUUGCCAUCAUUUAGUUGGGAACUCUAAGGAGACCGCCGGUGACAAACCGGAGGAAGGUGGGGAUGACGUCAAGUCAUCAUGGCCUUUAUGGCCAGGGCUACACACGUGCUACAAUGGCAGGUACAGAGGGAAGCCAACUCGCGAGAGGGAGCUAAUCCCAGAAAGCCUGUCGUAGUCCGGAUCGGAGUCUGCAACUCGACUCCGUGAAGUCGGAAUCGCUAGUAAUCGCAGAUCAGCAUUGCUGCGGUGAAUACGUUCCCGGGC